rnacentral:lncRNA from 1 species
GAUUAGGAAAGUAGAGUUUCAAAAAAGGUUUUAGGAUCUAAGGCUUAAUAUUUAAAUGAUGAUAUAAAUUCCUUGCCUUGACUCGAUAAAUACGUAGAGUAGGACUUCUAGUCACAUAAUCUACUUAAAAUAGGUUUUCAAACCACCUGCAAAACAUUGAGGCAGGAAUCCACCUGAAAACUGUAGUAGGAGUUAAAUAGAAGUGCUGAAAUUACUUAUAAUACUAAUCAGAUAGUAGUUAAAGACCAAAACAAGAGAGAGUGCUUCUGCAUCAAGUUCUCCUCACUUUCAAGCACUGUCAACCUUCUUAUGCACAUUAGUUCUAUGAGAAUUUUGCUCUGCUCCUCCAUAGAUGUCCCAAA